GAUGAACGCUGGCGGCGUGCCUAAUACAUGCAAGUCGAACGAACAGACGCUGCUCUUGCUCCUCUCUCGUUUGCCGCGGACGUGUGAGUCACACGUGUAUAACCUCCCUAUCAUUCUGGUAUCACCUCGGGAAACCGGCUCUUAUCCCGUAUAAUCUCUUGCUCCGCAUUGUUCAAUAGUGAAAGACGGUUUUUCUGUCUCUUCUCGCUGGAUCCGCGCCUCAUUAGCUGGUUGUUAAGGUACCGGCUUACCAAGGCGACGAUGCCUAGCCGACGUGACGGGGGGAACGGGGACAGUGGAAGUGAGAGACGGCACAGAGUCUGACGGGAGGCAGCAGUAGGGAAGGUAGCGAAAAGGGCGAAAGCCUGACGGAGCAACGGCGCGUGAGUGAAGAAGGUCUGCGGAUCGUAAAACGGUGUUAUGAGGGAAGAACAAAUGUGUAAGUAACGAAGCACGUGUUGACGGUACCUAAACAGAAAGCCACGGCUAAUUAGGU
rnacentral:rRNA from 1 species